rnacentral:misc_RNA from 1 species
GAAAUGCUAUAAGUAGUGUGAAUUGCAGAAUUCAGUGAAUCAUCGAAUCUUUGAACGCACAUUGCGCCCUUUGGUAUUCCUUAGGGCAUGCCUGUUCGAGCGUCAUCUAAACCUUCAAGCCCUGCUUGGUGUUGGGUGCCUGUCCCGCCUCCGCGCGCGGACUCACCUCAAAUCCAUUGGCGGCCCCCGCGUCGGCCACGAGCGCAGCAGAAACGCGAACUCGUGAGCCCGUCCGGGCGGCUCCCAGAAGCUACACCCACCCAGUUUGACCUCGGAUCAGGUAGGGAUACCCGCUGAACUUAAGC